UAGAUUGACGCUUAACUAACGGUGGUGUAUGUCACUGUUCUACAUGUUCUGUGCUUCCUGAUUCAAUCUGGACAUGAAAGCACUGAAGAAGCAUGCAUUUUGGAUGAAAUCUGGCUGAAUUUUUAGACACAAGAGGCAAAUGCAUUCAUUGAGAAGCUGGUAGUGGGCUAUGAUGGAUUCUGACACCUUGGAGUCUUGCUGUGAUUCCACUUCAAACUGGAACAUG
rnacentral:lncRNA from 1 species